rnacentral:rRNA from 1 species
CCCUUAGAUGUCCUGGGCCGCACGCGCGCUACACUGAUGAAUUCAACGAGCACUAACCUGUGCCGAAAGGUUCGGGUAAUCUUGUGAAAUUUCAUCGUGAUGGGGAUUGAUUAUUGCAAUUUUUAAUCAUAAACGAGGAAUGCCUAGUAAGCGUGAGUCAUCAGCUCACGUUGAUUACGUCCCUGCCCUUUGUACACACCGCCCGUCGCUCCUACCGAUUGAAUGUGCCAGUGAAAAGUUCGGAUUGGAGAUAGGAAACGGCAACGUAUCCUAUUUCCGAGAAAAUCUUUAAACUUUCCCAUUUAGAGGAAGGAGAAGUCGUAACA